UCGGGUGUGGUGUAUGGCGCACGCCUGCGCUUUCUCAGUGUGUCGUUCAAAAUGAGCAGGCCGACGGGGUUCGACUCCCCGCACCCGAA